UAUUUAUAAUAUGACUUUGAGUUAUUAUUACUUCACUAAUACUUAAGUUCACUUAUAAUAACAAGAUAGCUUGACUUAUUAGUUUUAUGAGAUUAAAUAAUAUUAUAAUAAUGUUAAUGGUUCUAGUAUAGUGAGAAACUUAAUUAAUAAUACGAUUAAUUGAUGAUUAACUAUGGACCCUUAUAAUAAGAAUAUGCUUUUAAAUAGUUAUAUAUAUGUAUUAAUAUAAUUUAAUGUCUCAAUAAUUCUAAAAGUAUAACUAAAGGAGUUAUUUCACUUAUUAGUUGUUUAAGAGUCACCUUAAGAAGUUGUUAACGACUAAGAUAAUAACGACCUUUAAUGAGACCUUUAUGAUGUUAUAAUGACCGCUAUGACCUUAAUAAGCUCCAACUAAUAUUUAGGCUUAAAAGCUAAAUAAUGAAACAUUCAUUAAUAAAAAUAUUCUUGAAUAGAUUAAAGAAGAUAAAGGAUAUUACGAGCCUCCCCCGACUAUCAAGGUUGGUAAGCAGGAAAUUCAGGUAAGGAAGAACAGUUGUGGAUCACUAAUAGACUGCGUUAUGGAGAUUAUGUAUGAUUCUAUGAUGUUUUAGAAUAUCUUGUAUGAUGGAUAAACAAGUAUUAUUUUA